UACGGAGGGUGCAAGCGUUAAUCGGAAUUACUGGGCGUAAAGCGCACGCAGGUGGCUGAGUCAGUCGAUUGUGAAAGCCCUGGGCUUAACCUGGGAAUUGCAGUCGAUACUACUCGGCUCGAGUAUGGGAGAGGGCAGUGGAAUUCCCGGUGUAGCGGUGAAAUGCGUAGAUAUCGGGAGGAACAUCAGUGGCGAAGGCGGCUGCCUGGCCCAAUACUGACACUCAGGUGCGACAGCGUGGGGAGCAAACGGG
rnacentral:rRNA from 1 species